UAACACAUGCAACUCGAGCGAAGUGAUUUCGAAUGAAAUUUUCGGAUGGAUUUUGGAAUUAUCUUAGCGGCGGACGGGUGAGUAACGCGUGAGAAACCUGCCUUUCACAAAGGGAUAGCCUCGGGAAACUGGGAUUAAUACCUUAUGACACUUUAACCUCGCAUGGGGAAUAAGUUAAAGCGUAAAGCGGUGGAAGAUGGUCUCGCGUCCUAUUAGCUAGUUGGUGAGGUAACGGCUCACCAAGGCGACGAUAGGUAGCCGGCCUGAGAGGGUGAACGGCCACACUGGAACUGAGACACGGUCCAGACUCCUACGGGAGGCAGCAGUGGGGAAUAUUGCACAAUGGAGGAAACUCUGAUGCAGCGACGCCGCGUGAAUGAUGAAGGCCUUCGGGUCGUAAAAUUCUGUCCUUGGGGAAGAUAAUGACGGUACCCAAGGAGGAAGCCCCGGCUAACUACGUGCCAGCAGCCGCGGUAAUACGUAGGGGGCGAGCGUUGUCCGGAAUUAUUGGGCGUAAAGGGUUCGCAGGCGGUCUGAUAAGUCAGAUGUGAAAGGCAAUGGCUCAACCAUUGUAAGCAUUUGAAACUGUCAGACUUGAGUUAAGGAGAGGAAAGUGGGA
rnacentral:rRNA from 1 species